CUUGUUAGUGUUUUUCUAAUAUACAAUAAUAUAAUUUUAAAAUACAGUAAUAUAAUUUGUUUUUUAUUAUUUUUUCAUACCUUUUUUUUGUUAGUAAAAUUGUUGUACGUAAAGCAGAACUGAUUUAAUAACUGUUAUUUUUAUUGACUGUUGACAAUUUCAAGAUGUUUUUUUUUUGAUUAUACAAUUUUUUUGUUACCUUUAGUCCAAUAUGCACAGACUACAGCUGUAUCUACCUUUUGUGCUACGCCUGUUCUUUCUACGUGUACUACACCUGUUACCGUCAACUGCGGUUACUUUAAUACCAGGGGUUAAAAAUAAAUAAACACUAAUUAAAAGUUUACAAAGAUUUUACCAAAUUGAUUUGAAAGGUACAUACCUACCUAUCCGUAAUAUGAGGAUCUACAAGAGGAAGGACGGGAGUCGUGCUUAUUGUUCACAUUCAGAAACUCAGUCGUCAGAGGCCCUUCAAUAUUGUCGGAAGGGUACUAUGAGUUUGCUAAAAGCAUCUAAAAAAUUUAAAAUUCCAUACGGGACAUUGCACAACAGAAUGAAAGGUAAACAUGGAAAAAAAGUUGGAGAUCCAGUUGCACUUUCUUUAAAUUGCGAGAGUCACCUUUUAAAGGUAAUAAACGUUCUUUGUGAAAAUGCCUGUUGAUGGAUUAGAUAUUCGUUUAAUGGUCAAACAUCAUCUCGAUCACUCCGGUGUUAAAAAUAGACAGUUUAACAAAAAUUUACCAGGGUUCGAUUAGAUGCUAAGUUUUAUCAAACGCCAUAAGCUGACAACACGCAUUGCUGACAAUGUAAAACUUUCACGCGCAGAGGUUUGUGGACAAACUGUGAAUGGUUACUUCGAUGAAUUAGCGAAGACAUUAAAAGGCGUUGAACCCUGUAACAUUUAUAACUAUGACGAGACUAAUCUUUCGGAUGACCCUGGCGCAAAAUUGAUCAUGGACCAAAAGUCAUUAUUGGUGACAAUCUUGCCUCUCAUUUUUCUCUUCCAGUCAUUGAGGCCGCUCAACUGAAUAACAUUCGUUUCACCUGUUUGGUACAAAAUGCAAGUCAUCUCCUUUAACCAAUGGAUGUCGCAGUUUUUAGAGCCAUGAAGAAAGAAUGGAAGAGAAUCCUAAAAUGUUGGCAAAAAGAAAGUCGCAUCAAAGGUACAAUACCAAAGACACGUUUUCCUGGGUUAUUGUUGAAGUUGCAUCGAAGACUAAAAAAACAAAACCUGAUUUCUGGCUUUUCGGCUUGCGGAAUAUCUCCACUAAACAGAGAUGAAGUCUUGAAAAGACUGCCAAAUGAGAACCUAGAUGUUGGUGGUGAAAAGGUUAAAGAAAUCUUUGGCACGGUUGUUCAGGAAAUGCUACAAGAUCAUUGUGGAUUCAAUAAACCGGACAAACAAACACAGAAGAGAGGAAAAAAGAUAAUUCCUGGUAAAGAAACAACAUCAAAUGAUCUCAGUGUCAUCAAAGAAACAAACGAACACAGUGUAGCGGUACUGAUACAAAAUUGUUUGUCAAAAAAAAACGAUCAAAUAAAAAAAUCCAGUCUUCAACAUCUUCAGAUAAUGAUUCUGAAAUUGAAAUGGAACUUCAAGAUGACAGUGAAAACUCUUUGGAAUCAGCUGAUAAAACAACUGACAUUCCAUUUGAACCAAAGCAAUUGGUAGUUGUAGCCUACACUGGGAACAAGUCUGUUGUCAACUACAUUGGUCAAGUUGUUGAAGUGUUCGAGAGAAUAAAACUGCUUCAUAUUAAAUUUUUGAAAAAACAACCGGCGAGUAUAUGCUUCAGAUUUAUGGAAAGUAAAGAUGAUAUCAAUGAAGCUGUUCCAUAUUCUGCUGUGGUUGAAAGAAUUUCAGAUGAACCGAGAAAAACAAGGAAUCAAUAUCGUUUCCCAUACCUGUCUCACCAAGUUAUCAACUAAAAUCAAAAGCUUUUGAUAAUUUAUAAUUUUGAGUUUGAUAUAGUUUGAUAUUUUUUGAUAUUUUUCAACCAACUUUGUAAUUUUUUUGAUAGAAUUAAGUGUACUAGACCUAUAAAUCUUUUUUAUAACCCUAAAAAACUAUCAAUGAAACCCUGUGAUGAGUUAACUUGAUAUUUGAUUGAAACAACAUUUACUAUCAAAGUAACCCCGACAUGCGGGGUUACAUUGAUAACUGUUUGGGCUUUAAAAACAAAUACAAGACAAAUUCUGAUAUUUCUAAAAAGCAUUUUUUCCUGUUAAGGAUAGAUCAUUUGGUAUAUUCAAACCAAAAACAACAGCAAUUCAUUAAAAUUCUAUCAGCACUUUUAAAAAAAGCACAAAAACCAAUCAAAGUAACCCCAGUUGACGGUACAUCUUCAGCUGUCAUGUCAAGUUGGUGGGUUAAAUAUGAUCAUUUAAAUGAGAAAAUGUAUACUAGUGCAACUUGUAAUCUGGUAAGACAAUUAUGUAUUAUGCUUUCUCUUUUUUAAUAAUUGCAUGUGAAAUUGUUGAAAAUGUCAUUUCUAUGUGUUUUCUUUUUUAUGUUGGUUGAGGGGAAGGGGGAAAACCAUCCCUCUCCUCAAAUUGUACAUCACUAAUGUAUGUUCUAUAGUAAAAAAAUAUUGCUUUAUGUAAUACAACAAUAUUUUCAAUACUAAUAUAUGUUGUAUAGUUAUAAAAGAUUAUUUUUUGUAAGGUGGGGGUAUGGGAAGAGGUGGUGCAUCAUACUUUCUUCAUUUCAAGUCAAUGUGUACAUCAAUAAUAAUGUAGAAUAGUAAUAAAAGAUUAUUUUUAAUUUUUAACAGUGGAUUUAAUUAUUGUAAUAAAGAUAAAAUUAUUUUUAUUUUUUAUGAGUCAAGGGGGGGGCGGGGACGGUGCGACAUACACCCCCCUCCCCCUAAAGUUAGUGCUGUACAUCACUAAUAAAUGUUUUAUAGUAAAAAAAAAUAUUUUUACUUUUUAACCAAAUAUUUAAUUACCGUAAAAAAAAUUAAAUUAUUUAUUAUAUUAGAAAGAAUUAUUAUUGUAUUUAGGGUAGUAACCAUAGAUGUGGUUGUGAUGUUAUAACCAUCACAACCACAUCUAUGGCCAACUCUAACGUCACGUUAUUUUGUUUGGCAGUGUUUUGGAAUCAAGUUAUGGAAAAAUUUUGUGUAUAAAAUAUAACAAUUACAUUUAAAAAGUGCUUAUUUCUGACAAAAACUUGUAUUUUCUUAAGGGUUAGAUAGUGUUUCAUUACCCCCUCUGGUUCCCAAGAUACACCCUCAUCCAGGCACCAAAAUUAACUUGUAGCCCAUUAGUGCACCUAUCUUGUGAUACCAAGAUAUAGGUAUUUGGAUAAAAAUUGACAAAGUUAUAACAAUUUAAGUAAAAAAAAUAAUUAUUUUGACCACAGUUUCUUCAACAAUUCCAUACAUCUAAAAUUUGCUACUAAUAAUGUUAUAACUUUUUUUAGAAUUGUUCGUUUUUAAUAAUUUUUUCACCUUUAAAAUACUGUAUUGAAGGCCUAUCUAAUGAUAUAUAACAUUCUACUAUAUGAUCAAUAUAAAAAUUUCAGUGC